UGGCCCAGUGAGUGGAGAUGCCGUUCUAUUGUCCCCCUUUUCUCUGAGUUGGUUUUGUCUUCAGGGUCCACAUCACAGGGAGUGAGAUCCGCAGGGUCUGUCCCCCCGCCUGACAUCCCUGAGCGCAGCGCCCUCCAGGCCAUUCACGUUCUUACAAAGGCAGGAAGCCCUUCAGGUUAAGGGGCCAGGGAGCCGACACCGGUUCUGGUGGAUGGGGGGCUGGCUCUUUGCCGUGGUGGCCGGGACCCUCGUCAUUCUCUGCGUCAGGAAACCCGGAGAUGGAGGCGGCCGGGCGGCCUGCUGCGGUCCCCGUGCAGGACCUGUCUCCACAGGACGCCCUUUCAGAAGAGACAGCCUGGUGAGUGCUCCCGGCCAGGCCAGCCCCGGGCUGGGAGGGGGACCCACUCCAGCUGCCGCGAGCCCCUCGCUGCCCGAGCGUCAGCCGAACACGAGCCGAGGGCUGAGCUGGAAGUGCCUUAGACUCUGGAGCAGCGGUUCUCAACCUGUGGGUCGCGACCU